rnacentral:lncRNA from 1 species
GCUGGACUUUCCAAGUCUCGGGCCGAUUUCCCCGUGUCGGGAGCCAAAGGAGCAAGGCAGCGCCAAUCGAUGAGCGAGCGCGCCAACGCCGGCCGCUGGAGGCACGGGGGCUGGAGCGCGGGGCCCAGUGGAGGAGCUCGGUCGCAGUUCGAGGCCUGGGCGCUGGCCCAGCGAGUGGGCCUGUUAGGUUACAGCAUUAUCCAUUUUGAAGUUAAGGAUUUCUAAAUUCGGCAUGGACCCUGGACACAACAUUGAAGCUCCCAAUAUAUUGAAGCUUUCUCACCCUUUCCCUCCAUCAGAAAUGAUUCCUGGCAAAGGACAUAAAACAAACAAACAAAAACUUCAUGAACAAAUCCACCUUGAAGCUACAUAUGGCUACUCUUCUAGAGUAUUUAUAAUUUAACAGGUCAUUAAUGGAAGUGUCAGGGUGUAAUUUCAGUGGGUUGGGGAGAGAUUCAUGCUCAGGGAUGUUUCCCCAAUUCCCCUUUAAAG